ACACACUGAAAAGGAAAUUGCGAACUAGAAUUCUACACGAGUCUGAUCCUCAACAGGUUACAGAGGCAGCAUUGCUUCCACGGAAGCCGCCAUCUUUCCCUGAGACGUCAUUCCUCUUCUGAUCACAUGACCGGAAGUAAACAAAAGAGGAAAAAUUACAACGUUCGAUUUAUUAUUCAAAAACUGCAAACGGAAUUUCUAUAAAGUAUUUCGAAUGAAUGGCCACACUGUUUAUCAGACAAAACCAUGGCCCCAAAGAAAGUCCAAAAAUAAACAGAUACAGAUGUAUAAGAUGUUAACUAUUGGACCAAAUGUAUAUUUACCAGUAUGGGUGCUGGAUCCACACCAUUAUUGCUACUACAGCACUGAUUCAUCUGUCUUCUUAACCACCUCACAUAUGGGCAAAGACAGGAUAUAUCCCCGGAUGGGUUGGCAGUUAAUUGCAGGGCCCUAUGUGAGCAUUUGGUACUUUGCUCAAGGGCACUUCUGCAGUGCUCUGAAGGUGCACCUUCCCCUAUCACCAGAACACCUUCCAUAUUUUGUCUGCACUGGGACUUGAACCUGGAACUCUCUGAUUAUGAUUGAAACCUCAUAAUGAUGCAGUGUUGAGGGUCCAAAUGGGCUACUGGAACAAACCUGAGGUGCGAGUGGAUGAAAGCUGAAAAUUUGGGACUGUUGGAUGAGAAUGAGAUGUGAAUAAGGGACUGUUGCGAUGCGACUACACCUGCGACCCUACAAAUGGAUGGUGGACCAAUGGAAUCUUAGAAACCCAUCAUCCAAUCUGACUCUCAGUAGCUCAGUAUUCCAACAUCCCUAAGAGGCAACUGAUGUCAUGCCUAGAGGCUGAAGAGCUACAGUACAAAUGCUAUGGCAACGGGGAGGCAGGAUGCAAGGUCAGGACAUACCGGUAAAUUCCUUCAACAUUGUGCUUGUCAGUGUUGUGUGAUGGCAAAAUAACAAGCCUUUAAUCACUUUUACUGUUUUGAUGGAAGAGGUCAGAGAGACCCUGGAGAGAACCAGACACCUCCGUCAAAUCCUGAAAACCUUAAUCACAUUUAUCUUUUAUUUAUUUUCAACCUCUGUUGAUAAAAGCGCAGUAGCUCUGUGAACAGCAGGAUAAGGGUAUUUUUCUUUUAAGCCCAAAUUGAAACUCACUAAUCAAAAUUUACUUACACAUUUGACUUGCAGGUGAAAACAGAUUCAUGCACAUAAACUCUGGCAAGAGCUCCUAGUUCAUGAGAAAACAACACUGAUCUGGGAGUUUAUUUUUUAUUUUAACUAAGAUAAUUCCAUGUUAUAUCUACUCUGCCAUUGAAAUAGUAGUGGACUCAAAUUUUCUUCUUACCCAGGUUUGAGCAAAAUAGUAAACUAUAAAAGACGAUCACCGCUUCAUUGUAAUGCAGAUUUCCUUGCUUUUUAAAAAAUAUACAAAUCAAUUACAUGUUGAUUACAUGUUGAUGAAUAAAUCAGCUCUACCAGGUCAUCUUUGUUCUAUAUAUCCAGAUGAAUGUCACUUAAAUGUCAGUGAAUUGUGACUGCACUCGUGUUUAUUUCAGGUAUUCGUCUCCGCUCAUCUGCAGUACACCAAUAUUAACACUUGAUGGCAGAAGAGGUCAGUUAACCUACAACAGAAAAGUCCGUGAAUCUUUAGCGACUUGUGUCUGAAUACUUUUCUGAUAACUAAGAUUUGUUAACGUGUUAUAAAUUUUAUUAGUACCUAUGUAAUUUGGAUAUUAUAUCUUUAUAUUUAUGUCCAAAUCAAGUGUGGGCCAUCCUCUAUCAUUCAGUGUGUUCUUGAUCGUGCACAAACUGAACUGUCGAAGCUCCAGAUCUAAAACUAGGAUGUUUGAUUUUCAGUGGUAAAAUGAUCCAAAAAUGCAAUAACUUUCAAUUUUAAAGGCAGAAUAUUUGCAGCAAUUAGCAGGUUCAUUAAUGUUAUCC
ensembl:lncRNA